UUAUUCUCUCCGAUAGUCUUUC
rnacentral:siRNA from 1 species